rnacentral:misc_RNA from 1 species
GUUUUUAAGAAGAAGUGAAGGAGUUGAAGCAGCUCGCAAAUACUUUGUUGAUGCACGCAAGUCCCCAAAUUGCACUUACCAUGUUUAUGUAGCUUAUGCAAUGAUGGCCUUUUGUCUAGACAAGGAUGCAAAGAUGGCGCACAAUGUUUUUGAAGCAGGGUUAAAACGUUUUAUGCAUGAGCCUGGAUACAUCCUUGAGUAUGCAGAUUUUCUUUAUCGUUUGAAUGACGAUAGAAAUAUCAGGGCAUUAUUUGAACGUGCAUUGAGCUCACUGCCGCCAGAGGAAUCUGUUGAGGUUUGGAAAAAGUUCACUCAAUUUGAGCAAACAUAUGGAGACCUUGCCAGCAUGUUGAAGGUUGAGCAGAGAAGGAAAGAAGCUCUUUCUAGAACAGGUGAUGAUGGAGCAUCAGAGUUAGAGAGUUCGUUGCAUGAUGUUGUAUCACGCUACAGUUUCAUGGAUCUUUGGCCUUGCUCUUCAAACGACUUGGAUCAUUUAGCACGCCAAGAGUGGCUCGCGAGGAACAUCAAUAAAAAACCUGACAAACCUACUCUUGGUAUUGAGGCAGGUUCUGCAGACAAGACUACUUCUGGUGUUUCAUCCAAUACAAAUCCGCCUGCUAAGGUUGUGUAUCCAGAUACUUCAAAAAUGACGGUUUACGACCCGAGGCAAAUUCCAGGUCCUGCUGCGCUUGCAGCUCCAUCUGCUUCAGGCACCUUGCCCUAUUCUGGUCCAUUUAGCAGCAAUGGACCUCCAAUUGCCCUUAAUGAUAUUUUGAAAUCCUUGCCCCCUGCAUUUGCAGCGUUCGUAGCAAAUUUGCCAGCUGUUGAAGGUCCUUCUCCUGAUGCUGAUUUUGUGAUAUCUGUAUGUUUGCAAAGCAACAUCCCUGCAGCAACUGGAAAAUCCGGGACUGCCUCUCUGCCAUUGCUGUCAGGCGCUGCUCCAUCUACGAGUGACCUCUCUGAUUCAAGCAAAUUCAGGCCGAGAGACAGACAGCCUGGAAAGAGGAAAGACAUGGACAGACCAGAGGAUGAUGAAUCAACGACUAUGCAAAGCCAGCCCCUUCCUAGAGAUCUUUUCAAGAUUCGCCAAUUACAAAAAAACCGUGUUGGUAAUUCGUCUCGAGUUACUAGUUCAUACACAGGAUCAGCAUCAUACGGAAGUGCGCUUUCAGGAGAUCUCUCGGGCAGCACUAGUUGACCUCGGACUUGUUUCUUAGUUUUCAACUGAGCAGCAGACCGAUGUGACUGAUAGAUGAGGCGACAUACAUUCCAAUCUCUGCCAUUUGCGUCUGGCCAUUCUGUAGUGUACUCUAUUUUGCUGAGAUGUAAUAUUAACAUUUACAUGUCAUUAUAAUUAAUCUUAUUUUUCAGAUGUUCCAUUUAUAAAGAACAGAUCCCUGUUCAAGAAAGCUACAUGCAACGAUCAACGUUGUUUGGCAUGAUUAGUGAAGUGGUG